rnacentral:misc_RNA from 1 species
GAAAUGCGAUAAGUAGUGUGAAUUGCAGAAUUCAGUGAAUCAUCGAAUCUUUGAACGCACAAUGCGCCCCUCGGUAUUCCGUGGGGCAUGCCUGUUCGAGCGUCAUCUACACCCUCAAGCUCUGCUUGGUGUUGGGCGUCUGUCCCGCCUCCUUCGCGCGCGGACUCGCCCCAAAUCCAUUGGCGGCGGCCCUUGCCUCCCUCUCGCGCAGCACAUUGCGCUUCUCGAGGCGCGGCGGACCGCGUCCAGCAAGCAACCGUCACACCGUCUUUGACCUCGGAUCAGGUAGGGAUACCCGCUGAACUUAAGC